rnacentral:rRNA from 1 species
UAGGGAAUCUUCGGCAAUGGACGAAAGUCUGACCGAGCAACGCCGCGUGAGUGAAGAAGGUUUUCGGCUCGUAAAACUCUGUUGUUAGAGAAGAACAAGGACGUUAGUAACUGAACGUCCCCUGACGGUAUCUAACCAGAAAGCCACGGCUAACUACGUGCCAGCAGCCGCGGUAAUACGUAGGUGGCAAGCGUUGUCCGGAUUUAUUGGGCGUAAAGCGAGCGCAGGCGGUUUCUUAAGUCUGAUGUGAAAGCCCCCGGUUCAACCGGGGAGGGUCAUUGGAAACUGGGAGACUUGAGUGCAGAAGAGGAGAGUGGAAUUCCAUGUGUAGCGGUGAAAUACGUAGAUAUAUGGAGGAACACCAGUGGCGAAGGCGGCUAUAUGGUCUGUAACUGACGCUGAGGCUCGAAAGCGUGGGGAGCAAACAGG